rnacentral:rRNA from 1 species
GAUGAACGCUGGCGGCGUGCCUAAUACAUGCAAGUCGAGCGAACGGACGAGAAGCUUGCUUCUCUGAUGUUAGCGGCGGACGGGUGAGUAACACGUGGAUAACCUACCUAUAAGACUGGGAUAACUUCGGGAAACCGGAGCUAAUACCGGAUAAUAUUUUGAACCGCAUGGGUCAAAAGUGAAAGACGGUCUUGCUGUCACUUAUAGAUGGAUCCGCGCUGCAUUAGCUAGUUGGUAAGGUAACGGCUUACCAAGGCAACGAUGCAUAGCCGACCUGAGAGGGUGAUCGGCCACCCUGGAACUGAGACACGGUCCAGACUCCUACGGGAGGCAGCAGUAGGGAAUCUUCCGCAAUGGUCGAAAGCCUGACGGAGCAACGCCGCGUGAGUGAUGAAGGUCUUCGGAUCGUAAAACUCUGUUAUUAGGGAAGAACAUAUGUGUAAGUAACUGUGCACAUCUUGACGGUACCUAAUCAGAAAGCCCCGGCUAACUACGUG